AGAGUUUGAUCAUGGCUCAGAACGAACGCUGGCGGCAGGCCUAACACAUGCAAGUCGAACGCUCCGCAAGGGGAGUGGCAGACGGGUGAGUAACACGUGGGAACCUUCCCAUCGCUACGGAAUAGCUCAGGGAAACUUGGGGUAAUACCGUAUACGCCCGAAAGGGGAAAGAUUUAUCGGCGAUGGAUGGGCCCGCGGCUGAUUAGCUAGUUGGUGAGGUAACGGCUCACCAAGGCGACGAUCAGUAGCUGGUCUGAGAGGACGACCAGCCACACUGGGACUGAGACACGGCCCAGACUCCUACGGGAGGCAGCAGUGGGGAAUAUUGGACAAUGGGCGCAAGCCUGAUCCAGCCAUGCCGCGUGAGUGACUAAGGUCUUCGGAUUGUAAAGCUCUUUUGGCGGGGACGAUAAUGACGGUACCCGCAGAAUAAGCCCCGGCUAACUUCGUG
rnacentral:rRNA from 1 species